rnacentral:rRNA from 1 species
CCUACGGGUGGCUGCAGUGGGGAAUAUUGGACAAUGGGCGAAAGCCUGAUCCAGCCAUGCCGCGUGUGUGAAGAAGGCCUUCGGGUUGUAAAGCACUUUCAGUGGGGAAGAAAGCCUUGGGGCUAAUACCCUCGAGGAAGGACAUCACCCACAGAAGAAGCACCGGCUAACUCCGUGCCAGCAGCCGCGGUAAUACGGAGGGUGCGAGCGUUAAUCGGAAUUACUGGGCGUAAAGCGCGCGUAGGCGGUCUGAUAAGCCGGUUGUGAAAGCCCCGGGCUCAACCUGGGAACGGCAUCCGGAACUGUCAGGCUAGAGUGCAGGAGAGGAAAGUAGAAUUCCCGGUGUAGCGGUGAAAUGCGUAGAGAUCGGGAGGAAUACCAGUGGCGAAGGCGGCCUUCUGGACUGACACUGACGCUGAGGUGCGAAAGCGUGGGUAGCAAACAGGAUUAGAUACCCCAGUAGUC